rnacentral:rRNA from 1 species
GUGGCGAACGGGUGAGUAAUAUAUCGGAACGUGCCCAAUCGUGGGGGAUAACGUAGAGAAAUUUACGCUAAUACCGCAUACGAUCUAAGGAUGAAAGCGGGGGAUUCGCAAGAACCUCGCGCGAUUGGAGCGGCUGAUAUCAGAUUAGCUUGUUGGUGAGGUAAAAGCUCACCAAGGCGACGAUCUGUAGCUGGUUUGAGAGAACGACCAGCCACACUGGGACUGAGACACGGCCCAGACUCCUACGGGAGGCAGCAGUGGGGAAUUUUGGACAAUGGGCGAAAGCCUGAUCCAGCAAUGCCGCGUGUGGGAAGAAGGCCUUCGGGUUGUAAACCACUUUUGUACGGAACGAAACGGUCUGCUUUAAUACAGUGGGCUAAUGACGGUACCGUAAGAAUAAGCACCGGCUAACUACGUGCCAGCAGCCGCGGUAAUACGUAGGGUGCGAGCGUUAAUCGGAAUUACUGGGCGUAAAGCGUGCGCAGGCGGUUAUAUAAGACAGCUGUGAAAUCCCCGGGCUCAACCUGGGAAUUGCAUCUGUGACUGUAUAGCUAGAGUACGGUAGAGGGGGAUGGAAUUCCGCGUGUAGCAGUGAAAUGCGUAGAUAUGCGGAGGAACACCGAUGGCGAAGGCAAUCCCCUGGACCUGUACUGACGC